rnacentral:rRNA from 1 species
UACGUAGGGGGCAAGCGUUGUCCGGAAUCAUUGGGCGUAAAGCGCGUGUAGGCGGCUUGGUAAGUCCGCUCUGAAGGCCCGGGGCUCAACCCCGGGAGGCGGGUGGAUACUGCUGGGCUCGAGUCCGGAAGAGGAAAGUGGAAUUCCUGGUGUAGCGGUGAAAUGCGCAGAUAUCAGGAAGAACACCAAUGGCGAAAGCAGCUUUCUGGGACGGUACUGACGCUGAGACGCGAAAGCGUGGGGAGCGAACAGG